GCCUGUUUGGCGCAGUGGUAGUCGCGUGUCACUUGUAUCAACUAUUCGUGCAAGAUCAUGACAAGGUCGUUCGUUCAAUCCGGGCAACAGGCA